UCAAAGAAGACGUCAAAUCAUUAUUUUCUUAAAAGAAAAACCCCAAUCCGUUUGAAAAUGUAAAUUUUUUUUAUAAAUUAUUCGUAUUUUUUGGUGCGUAUUGCAUUUAUUUGUAGUAGCUAUCAAUAUGAAAAACAUAAUUUCCUGACCCAGCCCUAAGUGUUUAAAAAUAAAAUUAUUUUGUCUAAUCUGUAGGAAAGCACAAAAAUCUUAAACGGCACCAUUAACCUCGUAUUGAUAAUGCAUCCAAUCUUUAAAAGGCAAUCCGAGAUUCUGUUAAAGUUUGUGAGUAAUGGUUUUUUUGAUCUGUGACAGUAAAUAUUAAAAUAUGUAUAUACAUAUAUACCGGAUAAUGUUCCGGGAACCUGAUCUUCUACUGAAUAGUGUGAAACCGGCUCAGAGAUUACAUAAUUCCAGCUUUUUACGAUAAGCCUGUUUUCCUGCACUUACAGCCCUCGUACACGUACACCAAAAUUGUUAGCGUGAACAUCAUUAUCUUAUUUUGAUUAGCUUUGUUCCAGGCGUUUCUGGUAUAAUUUAAUUUUCUAACAUUUUAAAGUGUAUUCACUCACAUUUAUAUUCGUUUGUAGUUAAUAAUAAUUACCGCGAACGUAAAUAUAUACAGAUAUAUGUUAAGAUCGUGUGACAGAUUCAUCAACGGAACCAUUAAGUCAAAGUAUUUGACGUGUUCCUUUUGUUUGAGUAAAAAAUUAAAAAAUCCAUAUUCAAAAUGGCUUGCAGUGAAACUCAAUUAGCAUCACAAGUUUAGCCCAGCCCAGUUCAGAUCAACAAGUAGAAACUAAGCUCUGUACAGUAGUAUCCCUAAUUCCACACUUUCGGUGCUCAUCGUCACCACGCGGACGGGCAAACACAGUGAAAUUGAAAUCAAAGUUGUGAUAAGGAACGUUGUUUGUCAAUUGUUAUUUGAAAUAUGUAGAGCAAAUAGAGCAGGCAUUUUAUUAAACAGUAAAGAUUCUCCUAUAAAACCAAGGGCAAACCAGAUGAAAAAAACAAUUAAGUUAAUAAGUGAUUUUGCGUAUUCAAAACAACUUAAUUACCUUGAUGUUCAUUAAAAGCCGUCCUAUCUGUCUAUAUGCAUACUUAA